GUUUGUCCUGGUGAGGGGGCACAGAUGAGGACCAGUAAACACAAUAGAAAGUUUAUUUAAUGUGGUAGGUGAUAAGUGCUAUGGGAAAAAGAAGGUAGAGCAGGGUAAGGGUGGUCAGAGAGGCGUAGAUGAAGAAUUGAAGAAGGUGACAGAGUUAUUAUAGCUGUUAGUAGAUACUUGGGCAUGCCCCAGGCAGAGGGAACAGUGAGAGUUAAGAUCCAAAGGAGGGGGUCUAGCUGGUUAGAAUUAGCAGGGAGACCACUGUGGCUUGAGUAGAGUGGAUUGCAACAGGUGGGUGGGGGUAUGCCGGAGUUGCGGGCAGAUGACAUCAGAAAGGAGGAGUAUGCUGCUGCUGUUCCGCUUUGCGUCCUCGCUACAAACGCCUGGUGGACAACAUAUUCCCUGAAGAUCCAAAAGAUGGCCUUGUGAAAACUGAUAUGGAGAAAUUGACAUUUUAUGCAGUAUCUGCUCCAGAGA
rnacentral:lncRNA from 1 species